CUUCACCGGACAGCUCUUGACAUUUUGACCUCAAAUCAGGUAGGACUACCCGCUGAACUUAAGCAUAUCAAUAGUCGAAGGGAAAG
rnacentral:rRNA from 1 species